rnacentral:rRNA from 1 species
CAAAAGCUCAAAUUUGAAAUCUGGUACCUUCGGUGCCCGAGUUGUAAUUUGGAGAGGGCAACUUUGGGGCCGUUCCUUGUCUAUGUUCCUUGGAACAGGACGUCAUAGAGGGUGAGAAUCCCGUAUGCGGUCGGAAAGGCGCUCUAUACGUAGCUCCUUCGACGAGUCGAGUUGUUUGGGAAUGCAGCUCUAAAUGGGAGGUAAAUUUCUUCUAAAGCUAAAUAUUGGCCAGAGACCGAUAGCGCACAAGUAGAGUGAUCGAAAGAUGAAAAGCACUUUG